GAUGAAGUACGUAGCGAAAUGCGAUAAGUAAUGUGAAUUGCAGAAUUCAGUGAAUCAUCGAGUCUUUGAACGCACAUUGCGCCCCCUGGUAUUCCGGGGGGCAUGCCUGUCCGAGCGUCAUUGCCGCCCUCAAGCACGGCUUGUGUGUUGGGCCCCCGCCCCCCGGCUUCGGGGGGCGGGCCCGAAAGGCAGCGGCGGCACCGCGUCCGGUCCUCGAGCGUAUGGGGCUUCGUCACCCGCUCUGUAGGCCCGGCCGGCGCCCGCCGGCGACCCCAAUCAAUCUUUCCAGGUUGACCUCGGAUCAGGUAGGGAUACCCGCUGAACUUAAGCAUAUCAAUAAGCGGAGGA
rnacentral:misc_RNA from 1 species